rfam:Beta vulgaris subsp. vulgaris chromosome 7, whole genome shotgun sequence.
GUUGCGUCUUAAGUUCUAAUCGAGGGACUGCGCACUUGUUGGUCUCUCUUUGUUAGAUGCAUAAUAAUACCCAGGAUUAAACAGCUUGAUGAUCAUUAUGACAUUGUGUUACCUGUCUCCUGGUAAAUUU